CAGUGCCCGGUAAUACGGAGGGUGCAAGCGUUAAUCGGAAUUACUGGGCGUAAAGCGCACGCAGGCGGUCUGACAAGUCAGAUGUGAAAUCCCCGGGCUUAACCUGGGAACUGCAUUUGAAACUGUCAGGCUGGAGUCUUGUAGAGGGGGGUGGAAUUCCAGGUGUAGCGGUGAAAUGCGUAGAGAUCUGGAGGAAUACCGGUGGCGAAGGCGGCCCCCUGGACAAAGACUGACGCUCAGGUGCGAAAGCGUGGGGAGCAAACAGGAUUAGAUACCCGCGUAGUCCCUGUCUCUUAUACAC
rnacentral:rRNA from 1 species